GAUGAAGAACGUAGCGAAAUGCGAUACUUGGUGUGAAUUGCAGAAUCCCGUGAACCAUCGAGUCUUUGAACGCAAGUUGCGCCCGAAGCCAUUAGGCCGAGGGCACGCCUGCCUGGGCGUCACACGUCGUUGCCCCCCCAUCUACUCCUUCGGGAUUGCGGGGGGCGGAUGAUGGCCUCCCGUGCGCCUCGUCGCGCGGUUGGCAUAAAUGCCAAGUCCUCGGCGACGCACGCCACGACAAUCGGUGGUUGCGAAACCUCGGUUGCCCGUCGUGUGCGGUCGUCGCGCAUCGAGGGCUCGAAAAAAUUGCCGGGCUCCGGCUCGGCUUUCAACGCGACCCCAGGUCAGGCGGGGUUACCCGCUGAAUUUAACCAUAUCAAUAAGCGGAGGA
rnacentral:misc_RNA from 1 species